CUAAUUACAUUUUUAAAGAACUUAUACGUCAAAACACAACAGGGGAAUCGGGCUCACGUGAAACCAAGAAUACUCAAGUGAAUGUCAAAGAGACAUUGGGCACAACUGGGCCAAUGCCAAAGCCCUAGAUGCGAGGUUCAGUACAGUCAAAAUGAGCGAAAUUACAAUUCUCCAUGAAAACUUGAGAUAAAAAAUGAUUACUGCCAAACCUUGGCAAAUUUAGACAAAUGCAAAGCAUAUUCUUGAUGCCUAGUCAAAUUCUAUAAUAAAAUGCAUUUCUUAAUGUCACAAUAACUCAUACACAAUUAUCUCAUCAUUUAAAAUCUACUAGAAUUCAUGGCUUCAAACCAAACACUAUCAUAGUUCCAAAUAAAGAAUACAUUUAUUAGUAUAAGCUCGACUCUAUCCAAUUCCAAACAUUUGACCCACUCCAAAUAACCUUAAACAAGUAGUUACUUGCCAAAUUCAUAUAUUCUACUACCCAUAAUAAUAUUUGACUUCUGAUAUAACCAAUUUGGGACAAUGUUUACGCAGUAACAUGAAAUCCUUCCCAAAAUACACACAACAUGGGCCUGGAACUCAUCCUUUAGAAUAACAAACCAAACCUCAAAACCAUUACAAAUGUUCAAAUUCUCAUUUCAAUGAAUAAUAAACAAUGAGCUGAUUGUACUAUGACUUUAAACAAGACUGUUAUGCCAACUUGCUACUCUAAGCAUGAUUUUUGAACAUAUACCACAGAACAAAUCCAUUCACAACAAGAACACAUCACAACAAACUUAAAACAUGAUAAAAAAUGGACAAGGAAAAAUGGAAUCAAAACUGAAUGGCCUAAGAGAGUUGUGAAAAUUAAGAUCCAAAAAAAAAAACAUGGUUCUUAUUGACUACAACAGAAAACACAUCUUCCAUGCAACAACAUAUUCAAACUUCAUUUGCCACUCAUGGUUCAAAAGAGUACCUGAAAAUUAAAAGAGAAAAUAGGGAGAAUGACGAGUUAGCCACAACAACAGCAGAAUCAGAUCAGCAAAACAACAAUACUUAGUCUCUUUAAACCACUUUUUGAAGCCAGAAUGACCAGAAAUUCUUGAGGAAGUUUUAAACUCUAAAGAUGACAAAAGAACUCAGUCAAUUUCUACUAAAGAUGCAAGAAAUUUUAUGUGUUUUUUAGCUCAGCCAUUUCUAAUUUUCAGUUUUUUUCUCUUUAAAUUUUCUCACUUGAAAGAGAAGGAAACAUGCCUCUUAUAGAGGACUUCUAGGGCAGCAGAAAUGGUUCAAGUUAUUUGCCAAUUACCCUUUUUCAAUUUUUAUUCUUGCAAGCUAGUCCCCAAUUUUAAAUUCUGUUUGUUAAAACUAACCCCAACCCCACCUUCCUAGCAGCUUCCUAUUCAGGUAUACAAAAUUUUUUUGUCUAAACUCCCCAAACUACCCUUUAAGACCCUAUUAUUUACCCUUCCUAGCUUGAGCCAAAGCAGGCUGCCUGAAUCCCAAACCUGGGCCUCAACAAAUGGGUUUCUAAUUCUCCAAGUCUGGACUAAACCAAGAGUAGGCUUCCAAAUUAAAAGAGCAAUGAACCAAUUAAACAACAAACCCAAAAAAGAUUCGAAUUCACAGCAGAUAAAGAAUUUGACCACUUAGAACCCAAAAUAACGAAACUAGCAAUGCUGAUUGACUAGGAUUGGCUAGAAGAAAAAGAGGAGAGAGGGAACAAACUUCCAAUUUGAUUAGUAGAAACAAACAAAAGGAAAGGAAAAGAAGUUAGCCUACUCAAUAUGAAUAAUAGGUAAUCAACAAUGACUUCAAAUGAACAAACUAGAAAACAAACAAAACAAAACAAAUAUAAACAACAAAAAGGGAAAGAACUAAUUUCAUAAAUUAAAACUUUUUUUUAUUAAAUUUUGGUCAAAAGAAAACUAAUUAAAGAAGGGUAGAAGAAAGAGAAAGAGAAUAGAAAAUGAAACAUAGAAUGGGUGGAAGGAAAAACAAAAGAAAAAUACCUAAAUCGAUCUGGUGAAACUCUGGCUACUUCGAUUUGAACCCAAAAUUGAUGUCAACCAUGUGUUCUUGUCAAGAACAAGCGGUAAACGUCAGUUUCGUGCACAAUCGAUCCCUUAGCUUUGCAUGCCCUAGAUCCGAAGUCGGGGGAGAAUUUGGGGCUUCAGGGUUUCGGCCUUAGAUUGAAGAUUCGAAUAAAUGGAGAGGGAUUCGAGGGAAGUUACUUCAGGAUUUAGGAAGAUGAGGGGCUGGGGGUUAUAUGGUGUAAUUUUGAGGCGGAUUAGAGGUGGUGCCGCCACCGGAGGGAGUGAGGAUUUGAGGGCGGCGUUCUGGGGUUCUUCAUUUGUCUCUGAAUGUAGAGAUGAAUGAGAGAGAUGGAAGGGGGGAGGGGAUAAGGCCAUUCAGACAGUUUUAUAUUGUCGACCCAAUCAGUUCCCGACCGUCUGAUGAAGUGAGAUCGACGUCUCAGAUUAGAGGAUUGAAAAACGGGGUCGUUUGGAUUAGGCUGGGGUUUGGACCGGGUUAGGGGGCGAUUUGGGCCUGGAGUUCGAGCGGAUUUGGGGAUUGGGCUGGCUGAAAUGACCCACAAAUCAGCCCUUUUGAUUUUUCUUUUUUCAAAAUAAUUUAAAUCCUAAAUUAACUCUUAAACUAAAUUUAUUCACCAAAUUAAGCUAAUUACUAGUCAUAGUAUUUACAAAAAUUAAAUAAUUCCUAAAUUAAAAGAAAAACUAUAAAAUUUAAAAUUAAAAAGUUAAAAUGCAAAAUGAUUUUUUUUUUGUGAUUUUUCAUUCUUAUAGAACAACUAAUUUAUUAAUUAACCUUAAAAAUAUAAAAAUAAAUCCUAAAUGCAAAUUCAUUGUAUUUUCAUAUUUUCAUGAAUUAAAAAGAAUUAAGCAUACACAUAAGAAAUGCAAAUAAUUAAGAAAAUUCUACAAUAAUUCCUAAAAUGACGAACAAUUAAAAGAAAAAUCUAAUUCUUUGGAAUUCUAUAGGAGUAAUUCAUGUGAGGUAAAAAUUACGUGCUCACAAUCUCCACUCAAAAUAUGUGUAUUCUGUGAUAAAACACUAGGCUUUCUGCUGCUCAACUUUCACUUGUUGACAAUUCGGACAAUUAGCUACAAAGUCUGCGAUGUUCUUUUUCAUGUCGUUCAACCAAUAAAUCUCCUUGGGAUCAUUUUACAUCUUUGGGGGACCUUGGUGGGUUGAAUACCUGGAAUUAUGGGCUUCUAAUAUGAUCCUCCUCUCUAAGUCUACCUAUGUCUCGAACACACAGUCCAUCUCGGUACCUCAAAGUAUCAUCAUCUCCCCCUUAUUCAACAGCUGUCAAUUUAUGCAUGUAGAAUCCCCUCUUUCAGCUACAACAAGUAGGGAUCAUCAAACUAUUUCUCCUUCACUUCGACUACUAAGGGGGAACAAGUCAUAUUCUAGACAACAACUCUACUAUCUUUGGAGUACGCAAAUUGAACUCCUAGCUAGGCUAAGCAGUGAACUUCUUUCACCAGAGUUCUCUUAUCUACCUCAAUCAUGAGUUAUACUUCCCACACUUGAUUAUCUUCUUAAGACUUCCUAAAAACACUUAUAGAAUUAUUGUGAACUAAGUCUUUGACAUGUACUCUCAAUUUUAGAGUCCCGUGCAAUAGCACUACCCUCGUGACACAUAAAUAGGCAUGAUUUUAUAGCUUUUCUGUGAUCACUUUGUCAUCAAUAACUAAGCUCAGUGAUCAUUCUACUCACUUUGUGUUUCUUACACAUGUUAGACAUAAUCCCUAUGGUAAUUAUACAAUCUUCCCUCAUUACCGAACUGCUUUUCUUUUUCAUAUCUCAUGCUACGGGUUUCAAAUCUCUAACUGGACUUACUGAAAAUUUUCACAUCAUCCCUUAGACCAAAGGUCUUAUACUUGUGGAUCCUUCUCUUUUUGUUGGAAUCCAAAUAACUUUCUUUAUCUUCUGCAACUCUCUGCACUCUACGUCAAUAACGACUUAUCUUCCAACUUACUUCUGAGAAAUCUUUCUUACUAGGAAAAACUAAAUUAUUCACUUAACGGAAAGCUAAUGUAUUAACAACUAUCAUACACAUACUCUGCUCACACUGUCAAUCUUGGGGAUAUCCUUUUUCGAUAAUUCUUAAAUGCUAUUCUUUUGUAGUUUUCUCUCUCACUGCCUAGCUGAUUUUCCCCCCACUGCCACUGUACUUUGAGUUUAACUUAAACUCUUUGGGUUCUAACACAUGUUCGGUAUUUCAAACUGUCAUCCACUCACUAUAGUUAACCUGGCUAAGUGAAUCAAAUUGUACCUCUACUAGCUCUGCUGAAAUUGCUAAUUCACUGUAUCAACUAAAAACUUACUUAUUAUUCUUUUACUAAACACCUGCUAGCAUCAUGUGUUCAUAUUCUUCUUUGAAUAACUAAAGUGAAGCAUAAGGUUAUUCUAACUUCCCUCAUCAUCUGAACCUAUUGUGAGGUCAUAUACUAUCCUUUUUUUGAACUAUGUACAUAUAUCACACUUAGGGAAAGUUCAUAUAUUUUAAACAAAAUUGGAAUAUCUAACCCCAAACUUUCUAUAUACUUUAAAAUCACUUCAGACUAUAAACCUUUGGCCUAAACACAUAUUCACAUCAUUUGAAGGGGAACUGUCAUACCUUUUAUCUCACAAUAAUAGCCACUUCUUAUAGUAACUUACUAAUGUGGUACUUCUAGUUCUGAUUUGUGUAAAUCUAAACAACUUAAAAUCAUUCCCUAAAAUUCAAUGUUGCCUGCUCUUGGUUCUCAUUUCGUACAUCAUAUCUUCUAGCCAUUUGCAUGAGUUCUAUGAAAAAUACAUCUCUAAUAAUAACAAUCGUUUUUGACUCCUAGGUAUUUUACCCUUAGGAUCUUUUCAGUCCAAACUAUAGUGACCAAUGUUAGGGUCUGACAUCUGAACUAUCAUCAUCCAACUUGUGGCUCCAUUUCCAAAAAUUAAAUGAAGUUGUUUCAUGAGGAAAAACACAUAUGAAUACACUACCAUACACAAACUUGCCCUUCUGAGUAUACCAUCAUCAGAUAAAUCACUUCAUGUACCAUCCGGUGAGUAUCGGUCUUAAUCCAGACCUAAAAUAUGCGAAGGUUUCUCUAUAAUCACUGUUACUUAUAUUUUCUUUGAGAACCCAUAUGCAUCACUAUAUACUCACAAGUCACCAGAAAUUUUGAUAUACUGAAAAUUGGAUAUUUGGUAAACAUAUAGCUGAAUACUGGCGUACUGAAUAAUCAUAUUGCUAACUGAAAGAUUGUAUAACCGAUAACUGAGGUAAACUGAUAACCAUAAGACAUGAUAACUGCUUUUGUACUUUUUGAUAAGAUUAUUCUCUAAUUUGUACUACUAUCCAUUGCAUCCCACUUUUAACAUCCUCUAAAGUCUUAUAUUUACCAACCUUAACUCCAUGAUUAUACCCCAAUGGGAAAAUAUCCUCUCUAGGACCUUACGUUUCUCCUACAUGUUGCUUGGGAAUCCAAUACAUUUGGAAUUCGAUAGGAAGAGAUGGUUACCUUUUGCUAUAAGCUUCAUGGCACGAUCUAAAGUGGAAAGAAGUGAGACAAUCCUGGAUGUCUUGGUAGUUAACCGUUUAUAUGAGUGGCCGACACACACAUAUAAAGGAAACUCCACUGGACGCGGCUUCAUAGACUUCCUAGGACUCUUGAACCUAGUGCUCUGAUACCAAGCUUUGUCACGCCCCGAACCUGGGCCUGGACGUAACACGACACUCGGUGCCUGACUACAUAUGACCGAGCGAACCAACUGGAUGGCUGAAUCAACAUGUGAUAUCAUAACAUACUGAAUGUGAAAGAUAAACUCACACUAGCUGAAUGAUAUAAAUUAAAGUACGGAAAUACUAAUACAAUUUCUAAAACGUAUUUGUAGCAAAUAUAGCUUAACAUGAAAAACUUGAGACUCUGUCUAACUAUUACUCUAGUCUAUGAAGCCUCUAUUGAAGUACUGAAAAUACUAACUAUAUGUAAAUACUGAAAGGCUAUAAAGUAAUGAUAAUACCCCGAAAGAACUGGGGAUCACCAAACAGCUGAUACGAGAGCCCUAACACUCUAAAUCGUCAACCUAUAAAUCAUUACCUGCAUUGUGAGAUGCAUGCCCCGAGCAAAAGGGACGUCAGUACAUUUGAAUUGCACUGGUUUGUAAAGCAACUAAAAGAAAGAACAAUAACUGUUGAAACUAAUACUAAGCUGAUAACUAAGAAUUGAUAAUUGAUAACUGAAAUGAUAACUAUUGAAACUGAAACUGAAAUGAUAACUGAUAGCUGAUAACUAAAAUAUUAACUGAUAACUGAAAUGAUAACUAAUAACUAAUAACUGAAAUGAUAACUGAUAACUGAACUGAACAAAGGAAGUAAGGAUAUGAAUACUCCCUCUUCUAAAUGAUGAACAACCUGUUCAUCUGAAUAAGCUACAGCCUCAGGCCCAAUAUAUAUAUGUGCACAUGCUACGGCCUCAAGCUCAAUAUAUAUAUGUGCACAUACUAUGGCCUCAGGCCCAAGUAUACGUAUACAUAAAUACGGCCUCAGGCCCAAAAAUGCAUAAAGCAUAAACUACGGCCUCAAGCCCAAACAUGCAUAAAACAUAAACUACGGCCUCAGGCCCAAGUAUGCAUAAAGCAUAUAAACUACGACCUCAGGCCCAAAUACAGGUGUUCAACAUUCAGGAACUGAGAAUCAAACUGCAAUACAUGAUAGUGAAAUACUGAGUCACAUUGAGUUACAUGAUACUGGAAUACUGGAUCACACUGAGUUAUAUAAUACUGGAAUACUGAAUAGGAUUAGAUUGAGACAUGUAUUCUUGAACUCAUUAUGAAAACUGAAACAUCAACUGUUUAUGGCAUACUUAGUAAUCUAUACUAAGAUUUGGGGGCAUCAAACCCAAGUCUAUAUUGAAUACGCACAGAGCUCACAACGUUCAGAAUGAAAGUGGUGAACGAGUUAUGAAGCUAGAGAAUAGAAGUUCUGCAACUAUUCAAGGAACUAGGCUUAACUAUAUUUCUGAAGCAAUUAGUAAUGUCAUAAAAGAAACGUAGUGUAGGGAGGAUCAUUAAAAUUCCUAAACAUAGAGAGUUAGCCUCACAUACCUUAACUUCCUGCCCUUGAGCGUAAUACAACAUUCGCCAACCCUUUCAACUUUAAUCUAUAUCAAUACAAAUCAAAGGGAUUCUAAAAUUAGCAACAAUACUCAUGUUUUGGUCACUUAGGCAUUUUAUCAAACAUUUGGUGGCAUAAAGCUUCAUAGCCCUUAUUAAUGGUGUCUCUACACCCAAUAACCCAUUCUCUUAUUCCUAGAUAAAUUCUAAAGUCUCAACUGGUUAUAAUCAAUAUUAUUCUUUAUCACCCAUAAGGUAAUCAACACCCAUAACCAAUAAUAACCAAUCAACAACCCAAACCUAUCACCGUUCAUGCUUUUCUAUCAAACCCAUCAACUCAUAUCUCAUGAACUAGAGUCUAUAAUCAUUAAUUCAAUGAUAGAAUCAAUUAGAGGGUGAAGAUAUUACCUUUUUAAUGUUCAAUCUCCUUGAAUUCGAGUUCUGGGGUUUCUUCUCUCAACAAUGUUGUCCCAAUCGAAUAUCUAAUGAUAUGGAGGGUUUACCCAUGUUAAUAAGAUGUUGGAAAAUUUAAAUUAACUUAGAAUCACCAUUAGAACUUACCUUGGAUGGUGGAGGGACCCUUAAGGAGUUAGGUUUUUUGAGAAUUUUCAUUUCUAGAGCAUGUUUUUAUGUUUUGGGGCUGUGGGGGACGAAAUAGGGCUAAAACAAUGACUUCCCAAGUUGGCCACCACGUCCUAGUAGGCGCGACCGUGGUCCCGACCGUGGUAAAUCACUGGAGCACUGCCUCACGACCGCGGUCGCGGUAAAACACGGCGGAACGCGGUGGUUAUGCACUAUUCUAUAAAAUAGGCAUAACCUUUUGCAUAGAGAUCCGUUUGGGCUACCGAAUAUAUCUUUGGAAAGCUAUUUCAAAGGGCUACGACUUUAAUUCUUUGAAUUUUCCCAAAUUCCUUACAUAUUUUCACUAAAACCUGCUGGAACACAGACCUUCUGCAAACUUAGUCGAUUUUGUCAAAUCUUAUGCACCUCACUUUUCAUCUUGAUUUUUAAACAACUAUUUUCACCCAUAAUAAUCCCGAUAGGACUUCAUAUGUCCAAAUAUAACCUUACUACUCCUUUAACUCAUUCAUACCUAAUCCGAAUGUGCGGGGUGUUACAGUGUGAUUCAAGCAUGCCUGAACAAUUGUUUUAAUCUACUGUGUGCUUACCAUUCUUAUGAGUCCCAAAUCCCUAUCCCCCUAUAUGUUUAUACUCUCACUGGUUAGUUUGUGAUUAUGCCAGUUUCAAUUAUUGCUGAGCAAGUCCAAACCAAUCCAAAUACCCUUGCUAGGGUUAUAUGUUUACAGUCAAAUGCCUGUGUAUUCCCAAGACUUUUGACCCCUGUGUGACUAUUGAACUCAUUUGGGUUCUGUGUGUGAUCCUAUCCUGAGUUCCUGAUUUUGUUUAUCAUUCCAACCUUUUCAAACAAUCUCUAUUACUUUACUAACUGCUUUGAAACAGACUUUUAAGUCUACUCCUUAAAAAAUUCUUUCAAUAUAUGUCUUGUAGUUUCACUUUACUCUUAGUUAAUAAGUUAUGCCCCCUCUAGUAUGUGUACUGCCUUGGGAUCCUCUUGAGAACCCUCUGAACUCUGGCAUACUGAGGCUGGCCUUUCCACACUACACUGGUUCAAUACUUGGCUACUAAGUCUAGGUGUAAGCAUUACCCCGGGUUCUUGAGACCCUUAGGGAACUUUGAUGCACCUAGACUCUGAUUUGUCUAUGGAAAUGAGGUUUGAAAGACCAUUGGAGGCUUUAGGAAACUUGGGCCUGAUUGCAGGCUCUCUAUAGAAUAGCUUCUUGAUUUUCUAUUUUCACUUAUGUAAUUCAUUUAUUAGCCUGUAAUAAUUUGUAAACAGAUAUUUGGGUAUUUAGUGAAAGGGUGGGUAGAUGUAUACUUUGUGGGGUAACAUGGGUAGAAAUUCUGCUCUUAGGAUUUAUUUUCAAAUCUGCCUGGUUUACUCACUAGAAAACAUGUUCAUAGGGUUUUUAUUCUUGUUGAAUCUGGUUGCUUUUGCAUAAUAGAGAAUCAUGCCUAUAGGAUUCCACUUCUAAUUUUCUCUACAUCAAAUAGAAAUCAUGCCUAUACGGACUUCACUUUUAAUGUCGUUUGCAUCAGAUAGAAACCAUGUUCAUAAAUUCUGCAUUUGUCAUGUUAGAAACCAUAUUUCUAGCCAUCAUGUUUUAAAUCAAUUCAAGUAUAGAUACCAUGCCUAUAAGACAUAAUUCUGAUUCAGUAAGUAUUAUAUAUCUUACUGCAAAUUGCCUAAAACCAGUAACACGCCUAGAUACCAUGCCUAUAGGAAUUUCUAUUCGUAAUUAUGUCUGAAAAUCUAAUUGGCCUAAUAAGUCAAUUUCAUUUCGCUUAGUUUACUUCUUAAACUGGCCUUAUUAAGCAACGACAUUUCCUAAACUAGUCCUUUCAAAAUUGCUUUAAUCUCGUUAGAUAUCCUGCCUAUAGGUAUUACAAGGGCCUAUUUCGAAAACCUGUUUGUUUAUGUAUAGACAAAGUACUGCAUAUAGGCAAGCCUUAGGGCAUUUUCAAAGCCUGCAUUUCUCUGAAGCUGUUUCUGUCAUUCAACAUUUCCAAUUUUAAUAAGCUUUUAAAGAAUAGGCCCUAGGCAACUAAUAGGUUAUAACUCCUGUAUAUGAAAGUGGUCUAUUUCUACAUAAUCAAUUAGAAAUAUUGCCUUAGGACUUUGAUUAACAAAGACCUUACUUGUGUCUGACUCGUGCUGCCUGUAUGUUUGUUUGAGGAGGAACUAUAAGCCUUUACUUGCUCCCAUUAAGUGAAAGUCCUAGAUGUUUUUUGACUGUCGCCUUAGAUUUUUUGCCUUUAAAACCUUAGGGGUACAUCUAUAACCACCUAUAGGUAGAGGUCCUAACUCCCUCCGGAACUAUUAAGAAGGGACGGGUAGCAGCACGCAAUAGGAAUCAUUGAUCAAACACUCGCUUUGCACGACCAAUAAGGGGAUGGGAAGGGUAGACAUGGGAUAUGAUGACUACGUGUUAAUGUCAUGUGUAACCCCUCAUUGAGAAGUAUUUACCGAACAUUGCGUGGGGUGAUCCUAUAGGAUAAACAACCUAGGACCCCUCCUUACCCCAUAUCCUCUCCUUAUUUAAAACUUUGUUUUAUAUAAUUUGUUCAAACCUUUAUUUCACUACUUGACUUGUUCAAUGAGCUUUACAACUUAUUUGAUUCAACUAUUUGUAUGGACUAAUUUGUAAACAUAAGUUCAGUCGGGACCCACAGUUGUGGACCAAGAGGGGUGCCUAACACCUUCCCCUCGAGGUUAUUUCGAGCCCUUAUCCUAAUCUUUAAUAAUGCAAACCAACCCAAGAUUUAAUCGCUUUAGGUGCCCUAACGCACCAUAAUCCGUUAGGUGGCUACUCUUCAAAUACCCAAUUCCCAAAAGGAAAUGAGUCAUUACACCCUAUGAAUGUCGAAACCCGGACCUCUAUCCGCGGAAGGAAAAAAGGGGGCGCGACACUUGGUAGGCUACGAGCUCUAAAUAUGCACAAGUUCUUGGAAUGCUUGGGGCAUGCAAACCUGAUCAUGGUUCAAGAGAUAUAUGCUAAUUGGGAUUACCAAUUGGACACUUCACGUGUAAGAGAGAAGGAUGUGCCGAUGGAUAGAGAGACUUUAUGUGACUAUUUGGGGGUUGAGAAUGCUAACCCAAGGAGACUCCAAUGAUUUAUCAAAAGCCCGCAAUAUGAGUUGAUAAGUCACACUCUUUGUCGCGUGGAUUCCAAUGCUAAGUGGAUAAAGAAGCAGGGCAACAAUCACCUUUCUAUGGUUUGCUCCGAGUUCAACAAAGCUACCAAAGUGUGGCAGAAUUUUGUGCAAGCGAGACUCAUACUGGCAGAGCACAACAACGACUGCACUCGAGCUAGAGUGUGUGUCAUCUUCUUCUUGAUGACCGGCCGACCCAUUAAUGUGGCUGCAAUUAUGCUUAGUGAGAUGGCCCACACGAGAUUUGGGCAACAAAUUAGGCGGUUCUUCUUUGGCAAUUUACUUACUCAGUAUAUGCUCUUUCGAGGAGUAUCAGAGUACCACAAAUAUGAUGAGGUGGUAGAGGCUCCGUUUGGGCUUAUGGACAUCGCAUCUCUGUAGGAAACGUCAUCAAAACUCACUUCUGUAGCACGAUUUGAAUGAGAUGAGAACUUCAAUAGGUACCUUUAUAACUCAUUGAACUUACUCAUGAGCAGAGCAUGUAUUUCAGAUGAGGAGCGUAUGCAUUUACACAAUGACUUGUCCAACACGUCCAAGGAGAUGUUGGGGAUUGCACCUGGAAGCCCCGUUCACUCAUCGAAGGACGUCAACUCUGUCAAGGGCUCAAACACUGAGGACGAGGAUGGGGGUGAUGCUACGGGCCCCAUGACUUUGGUGCCUCUAGGACCGGAUGAUGAUGAGCCCAGAACUGCUGGUGGAGGGCAUGCUACGGAGGUGGACUCCGCCUGACAGGGAGUUUUCUUUUCACCCUACUCUAUGUUAUAUUUUUUUUACUUGCAUCGAGGGCUAUGCAUAGUUUAAGUAUGGGGUGGGAGGAAUACUAACUGUGUUGUAGCUGUAUAUCUUGUAUCAACUUGUUUUAAUUUGUUUCUUUUAGUAGUUCUAGUGUAGUUAGUCUAGUGUAUUUUAGUUGCUUUAAAUACAAAAAAAAGAGUAUAAAAAUACAAAAGCAAAAAAAAAAUUGAAAAAGCUCAGACUUUUCACGACGAUGGAUUUUUUGGACAAUUUUCUUGAGGGAUAAAAGUCCGAUUUAAAAACACCAAAAAGUUUUUUUUAGAAUAGCUAGGUAGUAUUCCUUAGUUUUUCUUUGGGCACCGGUUCUUUUCCAAGGAUGUAGCUCGAACCGGUCACUUUAUUUUAUAUUUUUAGGAGUAGUUUAGGAAGAAACCGAGUCGUUUUCAAAUACUCAUUGACAUGGUUGAUGCUGACACAUUAGGCUAUGACAUACAUUCUGUUUUCUCGUAUAUUUGGUUUGAAUUGUGAAGCCUAAGUAAAGUAAAGAGCCUAUUUUGUGAUGCCUUGUCUCAGUUAUUUGACUUGUAUGCCACAUAGUGCAAUAUUGCUUAAUUUUCUCAAUUAUGUGUGCUUGCUUGACUUGAGAGUUGAACAAAAUUGUUGUGAUUGAGUCAUGGGCAACAUGUGUGUGAGGAUUUGUGAUUUUCUGUGCUAUCAUGUGUAGUCUAGAACUUGCCCCGUGUGUUAAUUGAAGCGAAAUUGUAAGUUGUGCUAAUCUAGGAGAUGACGUAGGCUUUUUCUUGCUUGAUCAUGGAUGCUUGUCACAUAAAAAUAAAAUUUUCCGUUGCUAGCCCCUUUGAGCCUAUAGACCUUUCUUUUGGCACCCACAUUACAAGCCAUACCCCUAUUUUGUUCUUAAUUGGAUAUUGAUUGAACCUUUACCUCCUAAGGCACUUAGUCGCUAAAUGAAGUAAGGUGAGAUAUUGGGGAGUAGUUUUUGAGUGGAACCAUGGAAGGGCCCGUUGGUGCACUAAGAUUGAAAUUAAAAGUCACUAGCCGAUGAACUUGAAUGUAUGGAGUGUGUGAAGAAAAUAAAAAAAAGAGAAAGGAAAAGAAAAAUGGCAAGAAAAGAGAAAAAAAUAUGAUAGUUCAAAUAAAGGAGAAAAUACACACCUCCAAUUCUUAAUAAUUUGUGCUAGUGGGAGUAUAGAAGUGCUUAAUGAAAGUAAGGGCUAUCUGCAUAUGGUUUGUGGCAAGUGAAUUAGUUGAGAAGAAUAUGUGCUUGAAUUGUGAAUAUAGUGUAUUAAAGUUCUUAGGAGGGUUAGUCACUAUUUCUAAAUGUACCAUACCCGUCCCUUAGNNNNNNNNNNNNNNNNNNNNCACAGGAUGCAUAUGAACUCUUUGUGAGAGUGAGCGAAUUUUGUUCAAUUGUGCGAUGUCCUUAAUUUAUAUUCAAAAGUAUAUUUGAAUGUGUGGACUAUCUAUAUUCACUUUUUUGUUUGUUGGUAAGGGCACAUGAUCUCAUGAAUGAUUGGUGAUGUUGUAAACUUUCUUGUUGGGUAAGUGCAUGAGUUGAGAGUGCUUAGUGGUUGCAAGUCAGCUUUUGAGGUUGGGUGAUGACAAAUAGGUUGUUGAAAUUGAUUGAAUUGAAGGGUUAUACUUGUGCAUGCUUAAACAGGAAGAAUGUGAAAUUUUGUGUGUUCAUGCUUGUGUGCUGGUAUUGAUCAUAGUCAAGGGUGUAGUGUGUGGUUAAAAGUUAAGGUGAUCCUCUAUAAUUGAGACUUGCAUGUUGUUGGGGGUUUAUUAGAUAGUCCCAUUGCUCGAGGAUGAGCAAGAGUCUAAGUGUGGAGUGUUGAUGUUUAGCUUAAAGCAUAUAUAUUUCUAUGUAUAUCGCCUCAUAUUUUACUUUUGUUUCAUAAAUUUGGGAUGUUAAACGCUAUUAUUUAUAUUAAUUUGAAGUGUUUCCAUGUGUAGGAAUGAUUCGGAAGCAAUUGGGGGAGAAACGUGCAAAAUUAGAGCCAAAACGAAUAAAACCAAAAAAAUUGGGCAUUUGGGCACCACAAACAGCGCUCGGCGCCACCUGUGGCGCUGGAAACAGAAGCUGAAUUUUGGGCAGUGCCCUGGUGGGCGCCUGGCACUGUCCAGGCGCCGUUGACGUGAAUUUUGUCCUAUUUUGCCCGGGACACGGUUUAUUCGGCACUAGAUCUACCCAACAUGUAUAAAAGAAAGACUAAGCCUAUUUUUGAAGGGGGGGCUCGCCACUUCGGAGAAAAAAUACACGCGAGAAACAUCCGGGAGCAAGAAUAUCUAAGAUUUCUGUAUCUUUUCUAGUAUUUUCAAUUAUUCAAAACUUAUACAAUUGUUUUCUAGUAUCAUGAGUGGCUAAAAACCCAUUGUUCUGGGGUUGUGAUUUUGCCAUGAAUAUUGUUGUUUAACGUUGACUUAACCUCGAUUAUAAUUCACUAAUAUAUGUUUGUUUCUUCAAUUUUAUGAUUAAUUGCUUAAUUGUCUGGCCAGCAGUUAGGUUCUAUUUACUAUCUAUGCUAUGCUUGGAAAGACGUGUUUAGAUUAGAGAAGAAUUGAAGAGAGCAUGAUCUUAAUCCUUAGGGGGGGGGGUGGAUUUGUGGUUAGUAUAGGAAUAUACCUAGUCACCGUGCUUAAUUAAAUAUCGUAAUCUUAAUGCGUUCUUAAUAGAUUGGUUCCAUAGGAAUAUAGGCGUUAAUCUUUUUUGAAUAGGCGAGUAGUACUUCGGGAAAAGGCUAUGAGAGAAAUUAUCGAUUAAUUAGCAACCAUGAGUGAAUUGUAUGAGAGGGAGAGUUAACUAGAACAUAAUAGGAUUGGUGAAUCGAUCACAACCCUAGAAUAUUUUUCUCUAUUGAAUACAUAAGAAUCAUUCUACUGCUUGAUAAUUUAGUUAUUACUUAGAAUUAUAGUUUAGUAUAAUUAAACUCUUGAACUUGAAUUUAGCUUGACUAAAUAACAAUAUUGGUGAGUUAGUGAGUAGUUGAUAUAAGUCUCUGUGGGUUCGACACUCGACUUAUCAUUUUAUUACUUGUACGACCACAUAUACUUGCGUGUGCAUUUGAGAGCAACAAUCGUGCCAAGCUUUCAAUCUGCUUCCUUGAGGUAUAUGCCCCUUGAUCGAGGCGAACCCUGCAAUACUAUUGAGUAGCGAGAGAGGUCGAAGCAGCUUUUACCCGAUUAAGGUCGGGAUCGAUUUCCAUAGGGAGCUAGAUAUUGGAGUCGGGUGUCUAUCUAAGGUGGAGUUGUGUAUUUGCUCCAGAUUGCACCUCUACACAUUUUUGGUUUUGAUUAUGAUUCUAAUUUUAUAAAACUACAAUGCUCAAUUAAACUAAAAUAAGCUAAGGUUAAACUAUUACAAGUUGUUCAAAUUAUUAAAAAGGCACUAGGGUAGUGACUUUCGCCUAGGUGGUCAAUUAACGGAUUCUUGAGUCUAAAGCUAGAUUGUCACAUUUGGGGGGUAUGAUAUAACUAUUACAUGAUUCUACUCACUCUAUACCUCUCGGUAGUUCGAGUGAUUUUGCCUGAAUUGACUUUCUCAAGACCAAUUGGGUAUGCAAAUUUGCAUAGACAAUCAAGGUUCAAGUCGGGUAUUACUAUCUCUAGGUUUAACCCUUUAAUUGGGGCUAUCAAUCUCUUGAGUACGCCCCAAUUCCUUGUUGGACCAAUUUCAAAGACUUAAGGCUCUCUUUCUCAAGAAGAGCCAAAGUCAACUAAACACAAACUAGUGUUUGCAACCACUAAUUCAACAAUUAAACAUGAAAUUAGUCCAAAUAUCAAACAUUGAGCUUGUUUUGGUACUUGUGCAAGUUUCACUCCCUUUUGAGCUGGUUUUUAAACCUUGUCACCUUGUUGAUCAAACCUAUAAUCAAGCACAACUUGUGAUCCUUUGGGACUAUUUUGUACACAUUUCUAAUCAAAACUUGAGCAUGAAGGAGUGUAAAAUGCAUUAUAAUUCCUAGUUAUCACCGCUCAGUCGGGUCCGACCCCUACUUCGAGUCGCCCGAACUCGGACUCAUAGCCCAAUUUAAGACUUCAAAAUCAGGCUCCUUGAUUUUGACCGUAUACAAAUAGUCCCCACUUUUCUUAGAAUAAGAUGAUAAGAAACUAUUUGAACCUCGAUCUUCCUGAGCAUCUCGUGAUGACAUCAUGCUCGUGACGUAGGUGCUUGAAGUUAUCGAAAAUGCCAUGUCAACAUGCUUUCCCAAAACAUCAAAUACGUUUCAGCUUUUGUCGGCCACUUGUGUCGCUGAUUCCGUUGUCGGCUUUCUAUAAAUAAGGGGUUACUUGGCUGAACAAAAUCUACACUCAUUCCUUCUUCAUCUACUUUUAGCCCUUUCCCUGCUUUACCUCUUCCUCUAAUCACCUAUUUCUAUAGUUCAAAUCUGUGACCACAAGGUCACAUGGAAAUAAUUUUACCAGCUAUGACAAGGCUUCCUUUUUCAAAUCUUUGGAUCGACACAAUGAGAGAAGGGCACCGAAUCCUUCUCGUAUCAGAAGAUAUGCGAACUUUACACUACUGCUCAUCUAUCUUAACUUCAACCUGGUGUGACACAUUAUUCCUUUUGCUUUCCAUGGAAUAAGGUGGCACUAUCAUUGAUGACGUCUAAAUCCACUACUAAAAAGUAAUGGACACAGUCGCAUGCAACAUAAUUUAGCCAACUAAGAGUCGGGGUCGAAUCCCACAGAGAACAAUAUGUAGGCGAUUAGGAAUGUAAGAGAAUUAUCACUUGUUAUGCAAUGCCAAACACUUAGAAUUAAUUUGAGAAAAUAUUUAUACCUAAAUGCGGAAAUGUAAACUAACCUAUAAAGCAAUUAAAAUGAUCAAUGGCUACAAGGAUGAAUGCAUCGGGAAUUACACUCAAGUAACUAUCCAAUGUAUUUCAUGAUUUUACAAAUAUGAGCGAGUUAUGUUAAUUAGACACGGGCAAUAAUUCUAUAUUAGCUUCUUCCGAAGACUAACAAGACUUCCUAAUUGAGUUAUCCCUAAAAUAAUUAAGAGAAUAAACACACCCGGAUAUGACUACAAGUAGUUCAAUCCUAUCCCUAGGUAGAAUCUAUAAAAUGAGGGUUAACGUCUCAAGUUCUUGUUAAUUAAUCAUUCCUAACCCCAAAUUAUCUUUUCCAAAAUUAAUUCGGAGUUAGUGGGUGAGUCCUAAGGUUAUCUAAUCCCUUUGGAAACAUUAAAGAACAAGAAUAAUUAAAGAAACAAUAACUCACUUCAUAAAUAAAUAAAAAUCAUUCAAUACAUAAGCACAACAAGGUAUUUAAUCCACACUUUAACUAUGAAUAUUUUCAUAAACAAGAUUCAAGUGUUGAAUAAAAUACUACACACUUAGAUAUACAAUACAAAGCAAGGAAAUGAAGAAAUAAACAUAAAUGGGUAAGAAAUCCUUAACCACAAGCUUGAAAUCUUCAAGACCAAAGUGUGUGUGCAAACCCUAGCUUCCAAAACUUGUUCUCUCUAGUCUCUUGGAACUGAAAAUAAGCCAAAGAUAUUUUACAAAUGAGCUAAGUCGGGUAUUAAAUGGUUUGGGGUCAAAAAAUGUGAAAUUCCAGAAUUGCCCAGGUCUAAUGCUCGAUUUUCGCAUUUGCGAACAAAGGUUUGCAAUUGCGAAGUAUGGCUAUACUGUGCACUUUCGCAUUUGCAAAGAGGACUUCGCAUUUGCGAAAUCUUUUUUGCAUUUGCGAUGACUACUUAGAUCCUCUUUCUUCGCAAUUCCCAUGCUUUCCUCGCAAUACCUAAGACUGUAAUCUUCGCAAUUCCCAUGCUUUUGUCGCAAUUGCGACCACUGAGGGCAUUGCCUAGAGUUUCCUCUUUUUAGCUUCUUUUUGACUUAUUUCACUUGGUUUCUUCAACAUCACUUCUAAAUCACAUAGAACCUGUAAUAUAGAAGUAAAUGGCAUUAAAUACGUGAUUUUAUCACAUCAAUCAUAGCAAAAAUAUAGGCUUAAAGACAAGAUAAGUUGGUAAAAUACCAACUUAUCAAUCAUCUACUAACUUUUGCAUCCCACACUGGAAUAGAGUUCCGAGGAUGAACACUCUUAGAUUGUUGCUUGUGCAUAUUGCAACCCUUUUGGUUUGUUCCUUUUGCUUGUUCUUUCUAAAUAUAUUAUGGCCCAAAAUUUCAACGGAAUGGUUAAUCUCGGCUACCAGAUGGUGCCCCCGAGAAGAGGACCAUCUGCCAGACGUUUCUAAAAAUCAAAAAUGGUGCCCCCGAGAAGAGGAUUUCUGGAGACACUGCUCUCGAGGUCGUGGCCUUAAAAGUAAAUUAGGAUCUUUGACUUUUGUUUUUUGCUUCUUUGUAAGUAUCCUUCGUGGGUGCCAUAGUUAUACUUUGUAAUCAUUUCUUGGAAGUAUAAAAGGCCCCUUUUGUAUCCCUUUCGGCCCAUGCUGAAUUUUAUUCCAUCUUUAUUCGUAAAAGACUCGAUUUUAUGAUUUCAAGGACUAUCCUAAAUAUUGAGCUUAGGACAUAAUAAACCAUUGGGUUUUUAAUUGAUCAAUACAAUGCACCUCGAGGUUUUUGUUAAUCCUCGAGCAGAGCUUGAAUGUGAACUCGGAACAUCGGGAUUCUCGAGCCUGAGUUAGGUGAGAGCAAGAUCUCGAGAUGAAGUAAAUCCUUCGAUUUCCUUGUAGCCCCCGGGUGGGAAACUUCUCCACCUCGGGUAGCCCUUAGGCUUUUAAAGUUGAGUGGGCAUUUGCUCGAACUUGUAAUAAGGAUAGCCCUUAGGCCUUUUCAUAGUCUUCGAGUGAGUGAUUCCUCAAACUCGGAUAGCCCUUGGGCUAAGUGAUCGAAUAUAUACCCUGCUCGAACAUGACUUAUUGGCUGUCCUUUAUGAUUUUUGAAAAAUUAAUCCUUGAUGCCUUGGUCCUGACGCAAAUAUCGUAACGUCAGCGGUUGAAGCAACUGAAAAGUUUCUUUUUGUAUGAUUUACAAAAUCAUUAAUUAGAGGUGGCUGAAGGUUGGCCUUUUGACUUCCUCAGCAUGCUUAAAUGACCUUUAUAAAUAGACAGAUUCCACAACCUUACAAACUUUAUUCCCAUAUUGUUUUCAAAGUCCCAUUACCCUUUUUUCAAUCUCCUUGAGCUCUCCUUCUCUUCACUAUCAACACUUUUCAUUUUCUUGGAUCUUCCGUAUUGCGAUGGCUAAAACCUAUAAACUGGUUUCCCAAAAGGAAAAAGCUUCAUCAUCUUCCCGAUCGACCAAGGGUAAACCAACAAUGCCCUCUCAUAUUGAGAAGUGCAUUCCCCUGCCAUGUGAAAUAACAUUCGAUUUCAAAAUCGAGAAACCUGUAUCGACACCAGACCGAUGUGAGCCCAUGUCUCGAUAUGUUUGUUUGGUGACCAAGGCUGAGCUUAGGCAGGUAAAGGAGGAUUGCAAGUGGGAUAACAAAGAAAUAAUGAUUCCCUCAUCCGAAGAGGACAUCACUACAUAUAAAGUGGGGUACUUGAGCGUAUCUACCUACCCUUUUACAUUGGGUCCUGCAAUUCUGACUCAGGGUCCUAUAGAUCCAGCCAUUCUUGAAUUUUGCCAAUGAUACCGAGUGACGCUCGUCCAGAUCUAUCCCUCUUUCUGACAAAUUAUUUACUUAAUCAGGUUCUUUUCGAGCCAAAUCGAGGGGAUGUCUUUUACCCUCGAUCAUCUAAUCAGACUGUACAGUCCAAGGACUUUAUCGUGGGGGAUUGAUAAAAUUGCAACGCUGAUCCUUAAAAUCUCUCUUUUCUAGUAUCGACGAGGACAAACACCGUGGGUGGAUGAGCUAGUUUGUCCGAGUCAAGACCUCCAAUCUAAUCCCUACUGAUUGGAUGCCGUUCCUCGAGGAGUGGAAUAUGAAACGUGAGUACGCAACAGGUUUAUACCCUAAUUUCUUAUCUUUUCCCUGGCUUUAUAUUUUUAAUUAGUCUAACCCUUUUACGAUGGUGCAGUUGCUGCUUUGUUUCCUGGUAGGGUCCUGGACCUCGAGGGAUGGGUCCGAAAGCUGGCGAGAUCUGGCCAAGUGUCGAUGGGAGGUAAAAACCCAUUGUGAGCUCUUUUGUUUGUUUUCCUAUGCUUCUGUUACGGGAUACUGACCUCGGUUUCAUGUAGGUCUUGGAGACGCCGUUGAUUUGCAGCCAGCCCCAGCUGAUGAAGUGGAGGUAGCCUUCCAAAGAAAGAAAAAGAAGAAAAGAGUCAUCUGAAAAUCCCCCGAAGCCCAAGAAGAGCGUGGCUCGAAGGCCUAAGGCUGAUAUAACGGCCUUAUCUCCGAAAACAGGCCAACGUCUUCGGGAUUAGGAGGAAGAAGAAAAUGAUGACUGCCUGCUGGUAACCUGCGAAAAAAAGAAAAAAUGUCUGCUUUGAAGCCCAUCGAGCCGGUGGCGGUUGAUGUGGCUCAAUCCAGAGCCGAAGAAAUUUCCGAGGGGAGUUCAAACAAAGUCCCCGAACCAUCAUCCAGAAAGAAGGUACCUCACCUAGGAGAUCAUUUGAAGGGUGAGGCCGAAUGACCUGACCCCGAGCCUAUUCAGAUAAGAGAAAAUGCCCCAAAUGGAUCACUUGGGGUGAUCAACGUGGAUGAUUUGCCUCCUGGCCACGAUUUCUCCGAGGAACAAAUCCGAGAUGCCCAUAGUAUGAGGUCUUUUAAAGUGGAAGCUGUCACGACGCAAACCGAUGGGCCGCGAUGGGCACCUGGUACCUUACUCGACCGAGUACCAACAUAACGUAUCUUUCUUAUUACAUCAUCAUAUACAUGUGACAUACGGGCCUAAUAGGCCAAGAUGAUCCUUUAUAAACCCAAAAUAUAGGCCGACAAGGCCGUACAAUCUUUUACGUACACGACAUAUGUCUACAAGCCUCUAACAAUACAUAAAUGCCUAAAGGUCGGGACAGAGUCCCGCCAUACCAAACAAUACACGUCUAAAUCAUACUAACCAAAUGAGCAACUCCGAAGCAAAUGGAGCGCACCAACAUCUUUCGUUGAGAUAAUAGCCUACUUGGUGGGCUCUCGACCUGUCUAUCAGGACCUGCGGGCAUGAAACGCAGUGUCCCCAGGCAAAAGGGACGUCAGUACGAAUAAUGUACCAAGUAUGUAAGACACGUAAAUAAAUACAUAAGAGACAUGGAAGCCAUAUGGAGUACAUGACUCAACAUGUAAGUCUGAAUAACUUUGUAAAUCAUAAAUUACUUUCAACGUCAUGCAUAUGCGUAUGAAUGUCAUGUCGUGCAUAGGUACAUGUUUCAUAACAUCAUCAGCCUCUGAGGGCCUUCCAUUAUAUCAUACCGGCACUGUGGGCAAAAUCAUCAUCGUAUACCAGCUGAUCAGGUGAUGGUGCGUAUAUAACGCCAUAACCUUUCCCAUAUCCCAUAUACAUAUAUUUACAUAUAUACGCGUAUAUAACGCCGUUUGAGUACAUACAUAUAUAUGCGUAUAUAAUGUCGUUUGAAUCAUAUUUCAGCCACUGUGAGCAUCAUCAUCAUCAUAUACUAGCUGAUCAGGUGGUGAUGCGUCUAUAACGCCGUAACCUUUUCCCAUAUCCCAUAUACAUAUAUUUACAUAUAUACACGUAUAUAACGCCAUCUGGUUAUGGGUCAGUGCAUAUGAAUGCAGUGCAUAAAAAGUACGUCAAUAGAAUCAUUCGGAAUGUUAUAAGACCAUUUUGCCUCUGAGUAAUAUCAUAAAGUAAACUUUUUUCAACUUUCGUAUUUUUCUGAGACCCAUGAACAGAUGAUAAGACAUUAUAACACACGGAAAUUCAAGAACACAGAUAUCUCUAAUACUUCUAUGAAUAGAGUCAUUCAUGAAAUUUGUGCAUUUGCACGUUCUGUUCGUAUCGUAUGGAUCAUGCCAAAAGAAAGAAGGGAUAGCCUCAACAUACCUGAACCGAUUCUCUUGACAAUCCCUUUAACACCUGUUGAUUGCGACAACACGAAACGGGGAUCG
rnacentral:lncRNA from 1 species